rnacentral:rRNA from 1 species
AUGAACGCUGGCGGCGUGCCUAACACAUGCAAGUCGAGCGGAGAUAAGAAGGAGUACUUGUACGAAUUUUUAUUUCAGCGGCGGACGGGUGAGUAACACGUGAGUAACCUGCCUUUCACUGGGGAAUAACAUCGAGAAAUCGGUGCUAAUACCGCAUAACGUCACGAAACCGCAUGGUAUUGUGACCAAAGUAGUAAUCCGGUGAAAGAUGGACUCGCGUCCGAUUAGAUAGUUGGUGAGGUAAUGGCUCACCAAGUCAGCGAUCGGUAGCCGAACUGAGAGGUUGAUCGGCCACAUUGGGACUGAGACACGGCCCAGACUCCUACGGGAGGCAGCAGUGGGGAAUAUUGGGCAAUGGGCGAAAGCCUGACCCAGCAACGCCGCGUGAAGGAAGAAGGUCUUCGGAUUGUAAACUUCUUUGAUCAGGGACGAAGAAAUGACGGUAGCAUAUGAAUAAGCACCGGCUAACUCCGU